rnacentral:rRNA from 1 species
UCACGUACAUCCGAGGGUCG